rnacentral:rRNA from 1 species
GACGAACGCUGGCGGCGUGCUUAACACAUGCAAGUCGAACGGAAAGGCCCUGCUUUUGUGGGGUGCUCGAGUGGCGAACGGGUGAGUAACACGUGAGUAACCUGCCCUUGACUUUGGGAUAACUUCAGGAAACUGGGGCUAAUACCGGAUAGGAGCUCCUGCUGCAUGGUGGGGGUUGGAAAGUUUCGGCGGUUGGGGAUGGACUCGCGGCUUAUCAGCUUGUUGGUGGGGUAGUGGCUUACCAAGGCUUUGACGGGUAGCCGGCCUGAGAGGGGGACCGGCCACAUGGCGACUGAGAUACGGACCAGUCGCCUGCGUGAGGCAGCAGGGGGGAGUAUUGCACAAUGGGCGGGAGCGUGAGGCGGCAACGCCGCGUGCGGGAUGACGGCCUUCGGGUUGUAAACCGCUUUCGCCUGUGACGAAGCGUGAGUGACGGUAAUGGGUAAAGAAGCACCGGCUAACUACGUG